rnacentral:rRNA from 1 species
AACGAACGCUGGCGGCAUGCCUAACACAUGCAAGUCGAACGAGACCUUCGGGUCUAGUGGCGCACGGGUGCGUAACGCGUGGGAACCUGCCUUUAGGUUCGGAAUAACUCAGAGAAAUUUGAGCUAAUACAGGAUGAUGUCUUCGGACCAAAGAUUUAUCGCCUUUAGAUGGGCCCGCGUUGGAUUAGCUAGUUGGUGGGGUAAAGGCCUACCAAGGCGACGAUCCAUAGCUGGUCUGUGAGGAUGAUCAGCCACACAGGGACUGAGACACGGCCCAGACUCCUACGGGAGGCAGCAGUGGGGAAUAUUGGACAAUGGGCGAAAGCCUGAUCCAGCAAUGCCGCGUGAGUGAUGAAGGCCUUAGGGUUGUAAAGCUCUUUUACCCGAGAUGAUAAUGACAGUAUCGGGAGAAUAAGCUCCGGCUAACUCCGUG